CCUGAAGCAAACUAGGUAAAAGUUAUCUGAAUAAAAGUGUUAACCUGCUUGUUUGUGUGGUGUCUGAUUUGUGGGUGAGAGAAUGAGAGCAGAUUUUGAAUGGGUAAGGAAAAAUAUUUUUACAUGUUCUUUUUUUAUUGGGUAUCCAAGGAUCUAUUCAUUAUUUUCUCAGUUUUCAAAUAUGUAUGCCUAUACACACAAUCUUCAGUCAAUAUUUUCUCAGUUGUCAAAUAUUGCAUGCCCAUACACACAAUCUUCAGUUGAGUGUUAUCACAAACAACGAAAGUUCAGCUGAACCUAUUGGGUGUCAUGGAUGUCUUGCAUCUCAGAUUUAUACUUAUGAGAAAAUCACAGUUUCUCAGAUUUUAGGCCACCAUCUAGAUAUCUUGGAAGGGUUUUUUAAAGAAAAUGAAUGAUGGGAGUAUAUUCUCAUAGGUAGAUGAGUUUAAAGGAAUGAAAGUUUGGGUACUGUAUUUAUACAACAGCAUCAGUUGAGUCAUGAACACUGGAAGUACAAAACUUCUAUUUAUGGCAAAUACAAAAUCCAAAGCACAAGCUGUAUAAAUACACAUUAGUACAUGUUUAUGUGAGAAUUCAUGAAUGACUUUGCAAGAUCAUUCUACUGACAUAAAAUCACUUUCUACUCACGAAUAAUUUUAUAUGCAGACCACCUGCUGUCUGGAACCCCACCUGUUGUGACAGAAAAUCACUUCCUACUAAUGAAUUUUCUUAUGUUCAGGAAAGGCCGAAUAGAACAUGGCUUUGCUUUCUUUAUAGCACCGGUGUUGAUUGGAGUAAAAAUAUUACAGCCAUCAACUAAGAUAAUAGCAGAUUUAAUCCUUCAUUUGAAAAAUUGACUUGGUUCUUAAAGGUUAAAUUAGUUUUCAGUUAUUAAUUUUUGGUUCUAUUCUUUUUAGGUCAAAAUAAUGAUGCUUGCUGCUACAUUCCUACGGUAUAGAUAAACUAUUUAGCUAUUUUUCUUCAACAUCCUUUAAAAUUUUCAUAUUCCAACAAUUGAUUGUUUAGGAAGAAAGUACCUAAUUUGAAGAGCAAAGGUUACUGAUUUCAGAUCAAAAUAUUGUGUCAGACAUGAGUAGUGUGUGUUUGUUAUAUUGUGAUGAUUCAACCGUAUUAAGAUUCACAGUGUGGUGUCGAGUGUUUCUUUUGACUGCUCAAACCUCUGCAUUAUGUCUCGGCCAAAUGCAAUCAACGCCUAUUCAUGCCAUUAUUAAUGGUACAUUAGCUGAAAUUAGCAGUUGUUUUUAGAAACCUUUUAUUUCUGUAUAAAGCCUAUGGUAUUGAGAUUCCGGGAGGUCGGUGCUUGACUCUAUUUUUCUCUGGAAGAAUCAAAUCCAUCUGUGUGAAGCUAGGCAUGUCUCUCAUCUAUGUUAAAUACGUGUACAUGGUAUCUUGUGUUCUAUUCUCUCUUGCCCACAGUUUCCUAUAUCUUCGUAAUAAGGAUAGAAUUUAUAUUUCAGAUAGAAUCUGCUGGUGUCAUUUAGUAAUAGGAUAGUGGGAUAGAUCAAAUGAAAAAUAUGUUCGGUUUCCCCCUGCAUUCUGUAUGCCACGUAUAUCUACCAAAUGAGACUCACCUUUGUGUAUAAUCUUUUGUUUGAAAGAAGAGAGAAUUCAGUCCUGAAAUAAGCGUUGGAAAAUUUAUGGUAUGCUUUCACUUCAGGUUUUCUUCUACCUGCUCGGUUUUAUAGUACUAAUAUUAAAUAAUAAUGAGUUCCACUGCAUGGUAUCAUGUGUUGUUGCCCGGUCAAUUAUGAUUUAUGAGUAGAGAAACUGUGACCAUUUACUCUUUCACAUUUUGUAUUUUUAACAUUUCCUUCAAUUAUGAGUGUCGAGGCUAAGAGUUUUGAACAUGUCAAAUAUGCUGCAAAUUACACUAUUAGAAUUUUUCAAGUAUCUUCAGAAAUCAAAUUUGUACUAUCUUAUUUGUCAUGUUGAGGUCAAGUAGGUUUUCCUAUAAAUCACACGGUCUUUGUGUAACCACAAGCAAUGAAAAAUAAGUGUGUGAAGUAUUCUCUUUCAAAAAUUUCCUGCUUAACGCAUGUUCUGUUAUCUGAUCAUGUGCAAUGUGUGUUAUCUCAACCUUUGCAUUCUGUUGCAUUUUCACGAGCAUGCGCAGUCUUGGGUUCAUAGACCUUCUUGGUUAGAAUUAAUUCCAACACAUAUGCCAUAUAUACUGUUGUAGGUUACUCCAAACGUAGUUAGGAAUUCCUUAAAAAAUAGUACUUGACCUUAUGCUACAGAAAUUUGGUGUUUCAAAGCUGAGUGCUGUCAUGAAUUAUGCAACGAUGGUUGAGUUCAUGUGACUUUUUUAACACCUCUACAUUGCCGCUGAAAGAUGCCGCUGUGUACACAUCGAUAUCUGGAGUCCAACCAAAGAUUAUGAAGUAGCAGAAGAUACUACAUAUGCCAAAGACUAAGUAAGAUUUUCUAUCGCUCACAUCAGACAAAGACCCUGGUAAUAUUUACUUUCUUUCAUUUGUUCAUCUUUGGUCCAUGAACAAAAUCAUCCUUCCACUGCCUUCCUGAAGGGAGUUAGCACACAAGGACGUGCGAGACAAACAAAGGCAGCUCAUGUGAAGGCAACUUCGCCGAGCCAUGACCGUGGCGGUGGUGUACCCCUCUUCCCAAGCUCAUUCCAAGAGUAGAACAAAUCUCUUUUCGUUUAGGUGCUUCUGUAUAAUUUACCCACUCAAUGGAUAUUUAAUUUUUUCAUAAGUAUGAUUCAUUGUUCUGGUGAGAAAACUAUGAGCCUUGGGUUGUAUAUGCAGCACUAUGUUUCUUGUCAGGUUGAGAUUUUCAUUUGGGUGUGAUGUGUUGAUAACUUAUAAAAUCUUUUGCACAAAUACUUUCCAAGCUUCUAUUAUUACCACUCUUCUUUCUAUAUUGUACGACCAAUUGAUGAAGAUUUAUCACUGAUUUACUAUUGCCUAACUUUCCUAUAUGUAACUUUAUUUGUUAUGUCUUCUGUCUGAACGCACCAAAAUAAUAUUUGUACCACUUCAUGGUUACAGGUUCAUGGAGACGGUUGAGGUCCCAGCCAGCGUCAUGUUGAGAGCUAUGCUGAAGAAACUGAACCUUACAAGCCCCAAUAUUUGAGCUGAGUCUGAACCAAAGAGUGUUUAUCCACCCUUCUGUGCAACUCCUCCAACGUUUAGUGCAGUCUUACUCAUUCUUCGGCUACCCAGGGGACCCUUUGGAGGAAGCAUCAAAUGUUGCUGAUACACGAAGACAAUGCAACAACAAUGCCCUUAUGUAGAUAUUGCUUUUGCUGUUCCUUCCCUUGCUUCUGUGCUUUCUGCUGGAAUAAUAUAAGAUAUGUGUGUUCUUUGCUUACUGCUGCUUAUUCAUGACUAGCCCUUUCAUAAUCUAGCGGUAUACAAGAUGUGUAUCUUCUUGCUAUAUGGUGUCCUGAUCCUCUAAAAAAUGCAUUUCACGGGAUCUUGCGCCAAGACAAAGAAUGUGUUUCCAGCUAUGGAAACAUUUUGGCCCCUCAUAGUGAACCCAUUUACUCAUGAAGAUAUUGUCAAGUCCCUAUGCUGAUUCAAAUCUCAUGUAAAUAAUCACAGGUGCAGGCCACUGUCCAACAAAUCUCAGGCAGAUGCCAAGAAGAAGAGGAAAUGAAUCAGUAUUCAGUAACAGGUUUACAGUUCUCCAGCUCAUUCAUGCUUCUGUCCUAAUCCUCGCUUGUCCUACAAAUUAUCACAGAAACAUAUUUUAGCAAAGUUCUCCGCGGGCUGACAGGAAACAGCGUGCACCGCAGGGCCAUUACCAACCCCAAGUGCUCCCCUGCUGUCCUGACGUGCAGGGUUAGGUGAUAACAACUUCUGCAGUUUUCAGGUUUCACCCACUGUUGCAGUAGGCCCAGUUGUACAUUGCGAGCUCUUUGAUAUGUAAAUUUGAUCCGCACAUUGCUGCUGCUUUUUGUUUAUGCUGCUUAAAAGUCUCCUCCAUCUUUCACGGUGGUCUUAAGGUAUCUUUGAUUGAGUGACCCUUGCUGAAAUAGGUAGGGUUUAAUCCCUGGAGAUGGAAUGAUGGAUCAAGAGGUGUUAAUUGUCAAUGAUAUGGAAUGGAACUAUGGAAGUUAUGUCACAUGCUGUAGUUUUUUUAAAGUUAACUCUGGGAUUUCUUCACAUGAUUCUCAUGUGAUAAGC